UGAAUGCUGUUGAGGUAUUUGGAUAUGGACCAGCUGGCUUUGACUAUCUGACUAUCCAAUGACAGAGCGAACAUGCUCUAUGUCAUUGGAAUGAAUGGUAAAUGUCAAGUGUUAGAACCUACAGCUGGGAGAACUCACGAUUUGCUGAAUACAGGGCUGCUGUGGAGGAUGUUUUACCAUACAUGGGGGGUUACAGAUAUCAAAGACACACAACGGUAAGUUUCAUGAAGGUGGGAGAAGAGAUUUCACAGAGGGGUGGGCGAGUAGUAGAUGAGUGUCUCGUUUGAUUGUUGAGCUGUGAGAACUGAAUUCCAUAGAUGCUGUGUUACACAAAACUCAUCUAUGGGCUCAGUUCUUCUGGCUCCAUAAUCAUGAACUUCAUAGCAGGAAAUGACCCAUGCCAACAGUUAUAACUAAAUAUUUAACUUAUGCAACAUUGAAUAAAUAGGCCUGCAGAAAUAUUCUACAUAUUUUCAGUGAAUGUAAACGACUGUAUUUGAAAUCACUGCCAAGUUUUUAUUCUUUCUAAAAUGUCGGUUGUCACAAUUGAACAUACAAGGGAUUUAUGCACAUUGUUUAAUUUUAUGUGAGGUUCAAUAAAAAUCUAUGCACUUGAAACCUGUU